GUCUGCGCGCGCCUGUGUGCAGGUUACCGGAGAGGGAGAUCCAUUCUUGCAGAGGGGCCCUCUGAAGACUCCUUUAAUGCCCCGGUAGUGACCAUUGCUGAGAUGUCUCGAACUGAUGACCAGGGCGAAUAAAGUCACCAGGCAGGAAGCCGCACUGAGAAUUAAAGACUCGUGCAGAAAUGAGCUGUGGAAGGAGAAGGAGGCUCUUGCAGAGUCAGACAUAUUCUAUGCAAAGAAAAUGUGUUCAUAAUCAGGUGAAAUCUUUGCCAGAAAAAAAGGGGGGAUUUUAAAAGGAUAUCGUGUGGCUCAGUCUAUAAUUACAAUCUCACUCUUCAUAAACAUUGGCCUAUUAAUAACGUCCCCAGAGAAGGUUUCAUUAUUUUGUGGACAUUUCCAAAACAGUGAUCAAAUCUCUUUAAUUUCACUGUUUGCAAUAGACAAGAUAUGGAAGCAACCUAAAU